GCAUUUUCGUAAAUACCGCCCGGUCAGACGUCGUAGGUAUCGACGGACCACGCGUCGUAGCUAUCUCCGAAAACGUAUUUGACCGACAUAUCUUGUUGAUAGUCGGUGAUUGGUCAUGCUCGUUAGCCAUGCGUUUAUUGAACUCGCGGUCAUCGAGACAUAACCUGGUGUCAUUCGAUUUUAUAUCGAAUUUGACAAAAGGAUUCCCGUGUUGCGUGGAUGUGCGCUUGAUUUUCCCCAUCCCUUCUAAAUCGGCUAAGUUCGGUUUUAGCUUUUUCCGUUGUAUCUCCGGUGCGGGAUGUUGUUGCAUUUGAACCAUGGAGAUAAAGGAAAGAGUAUAGAGCCGCGAAAUUGAAGCCGAAGUGGGGAAGAGGGGUAAGCCUUCAGCCAUCUUGUUCCGCGAAAUUAGUGCUGCUAUCUAAUGCAGAGCAGAGCUAUUUGCUACUUAAUAUAGUGUGAAGGAGUGCUAAGUAAAAUUAACUAAGAAGAAGAAGAAUACGAUAUACAAGUAAAUUAAGUGCAUAAGAAAAUGCCAUCGUGUAUUUUGAAAACUUGUUAUAACAGAACCUUCCGAAAAUCACAUAAACAAGAAGAACUCGAAAAAAAGCAGAAGAUAACUUUUCACACGUUUCCAAAAAAUACGUACAGACGAAAGCAUUGGUGUGAAAUAUUACAGUUGCCUGAGAAUUCUAUAAAAUCAAAUUCAGUAAUAUGCUCAAUGCAUUUUCAUGAAGAAAGUUUCGAUAAAUCGUCACGACGCUAUAUUAGAUUAAAAGCUGAUACCAACCCAUAUUUACCUUCACAAGCAUUAUCAAUGCAGAGGAAAUCUCCAAUAAAAUGUAUAGAGCAAAUAUAUACAAAAAAAUGUACAGUUACUUCAGAAAAGUUAUUGUCUAACAAUGAAGAUCACAUAAGAGGAAUUCUAAACUUGCAAGCAGACAAUAUAUCUACUGAACAAAUGGAUGCAGCACAAAAUAUUGAUGUUUUUAAUAUGGAAAUGCUCAUAUGUGAAGAAACAGUUAAUAAAAAAAGAAGAAGCAAUAAUGUCAUUGCUCCUGAUACGCAUCUUAAACAAGAAAUUGCACAAUCAUCUCCAAAAAUAUCAAGAGUGUCAAUACUUCAGUGUCUCCAUGGAAAAUUUAUAAUUCACCCAACAAAAAACAGUUAAGAGAAGAAUUAAGAAGAACGAAAGAACAGUACAAUCUGCGGAUAAAAACUCUAACACAAAAAACAAGACGCAUGAAAAAAAAGAUAGUGUCACUGGAAAAUAUAUUAGAAGCUAUAAAACAAAAAAAUUUCUUAGAAGAAGAGCAACUGUACAAUUUGAAAGUAUAACUGGAGAACAAAAGGCAAAUUUAGUUAUGCAAUGUUUAUCACUUUUACAUAAUGCCGGAAUAUGCAUAAAAUCAUUAACAUGUGACGGCGCUGCAAAUAAUUUGAGCAUGAUACGUCUUUUAAAGUGCAAUAUUACUAAUCCUAAGUGCAUGCAAGGAUAUUUUGAGCAUCCAAGUUCAAGCUAUAAAGUCCACAUAUUCUUAGAUGCAUGUCAUAUGUUAAAAUUAUUGAGGAAUACUUUGGGUGAUUAUAAAUGU
rnacentral:misc_RNA from 1 species